UACGGAGGGGGCUAGCGUUGUUCGGAAUUACUGGGCGUAAAGCGCGCGUAGGCGGACCUGCAAGUCGGGGGUGAAAGCCCGAGGCUCAACCUCGGAACUGCCUUCGAUACUGCGGGUCUCGAGUCCGGGAGAGGUGAGUGGAAUUUACGGUGUAGCGGUGAAAUGCGUAGAUAUCGUAAGGAAGACCAGUGGCGAAGGCGGGUCUCUGGACAGUUCCUGACGCUGAGGCACGAAGGUCAGGGGAGCAAACGGG
rnacentral:rRNA from 1 species